UGAGUAAUGUCUGGGAAACUGCCUGAUGGAGGGGGAUAACUACUGGAAACGGUAGCUAAUACCGCAUAACGUCGCAAGACCAAAGAGGGGGACCUUCGGGCCUCUUGCCAUCAGAUGUGCCCAGAUGGGAUUAGCUAGUAGGUGGGGUAACGGCUCACCUAGGCGACGAUCCCUAGCUGGUCUGAGAGGAUGACCAGCCACACUGGAACUGAGACACGGUCCAGACUCCUACGGGAGGCAGCAGUGGGGAAUAUUGCACAAUGGGCGCAAGCCUGAUGCAGCCAUGCCGCGUGUAUGAAGAAGGCCUUCGGGUUGUAAAGUACUUUCAGCGGGGAGGAAGGUGCUGAGGUUAAUAACCUCAGCAAUUGACGUUACCCGCAGAAGAAGCACCGGCUAACUCCGUGCCAGCAGCCGCGGUAAUACGGAGGGUGCAAGCGUUAAUCGGAAUUACUGGGCGUAAAGCG
rnacentral:rRNA from 1 species